rnacentral:rRNA from 1 species
GUCUAUGGCCACGCCACCCUGAACAGGACCAAUGUCUGAUCUUGGAAACUAAGCAAGGUCGGGCCUGGUUAGUACUUGGAAGGGAGACCAUUAAGGAAGACCAGGUGCUGUAAGCA